rnacentral:rRNA from 1 species
UAGGGAAUCUUCCGCAAUGGACGCAAGUCUGACGGAGCAACGCCGCGUGAGUGAAGAAGGAUUUCGGUUCGUAAAACUCUGUUGUUAGAGAAGAACAGCGCAUAGAGUAACUGUUAUGCGUGUGACGGUAUCUAACCAGAAAGCCACGGCUAACUACGUGCCAGCAGCCGCGGUAAUACGCAGGUGGCAAGCGUUGUCCGGAUUUAUUGGGCGUAAAGCGAGCGCAGGCGGUCAAUUAAGUCUGAUGUGAAAGCCCCCGGCUCAACCGGGGAGGGUCAUUGGAAACUGGUUGACUUGAGUGCAGAAGAGGAGAGUGGAAUUCCAUGUGUAGCGGUGAAAUGCGUAGAUAUAUGGAGGAACACCAGUGGCGAAGGCGACUCUCUGGUCUGUAACUGACGCUGAAGUUCGAAAGCGUGGGUAGCAAACAGG